AGUUAAAUGGCUAUAAGAACCUCUCGCCGUUUCCAAAAUCACUGAUUUUGACGGCUGUGAGAACCUUUUUGCUCCGCAAUAAUAAACCCCUCCUAAGGGUUAGUUGUGAGUUCGAUUCUCGCAGGGGGUGCCA
rnacentral:tRNA from 1 species